GACGAACGCUGGCGGCGUGCCUAAUACAUGCAAGUCGAGCGGAUUUUCGGAAGCUUGCUUCCGAAAAUUAGCGGCGGACGGGUGAGUAACACGUGGGCAACCUGCCUGUAAGACUGGGAUAACUUCGGGAAACCGGAGCUAAUACCGGAUACAUUCUUCCCUCGCAUGAGGGAAGAUGGAAAGACGGUUUUGCUGUCACUUACAGAUGGGCCCGCGGCGCAUUAGCUAGUUGGUGAGGUAAUGGCCCACCAAGGCGACGAUGCGUAGCCGACCUGAGAGGGUGAUCGGCCACACUGGGACUGAGACACGGCCCAGACUCCUACGGGAGGCAGCAGUAGGGAAUCUUCCGCAAUGGACGAAAGUCUGACGGAGCAACGCCGCGUGAGCGAAGAAGGCCUUCGGGUCGUAAAGCUCUGUUGUCAGGGAAGAACAAGAACCAUAGUAACUGAUGGUACCUUGACGGUACCUGACCAGAAAGCCACGGCUAACUACGUGCCAGCCGCCGCCGUAA
rnacentral:rRNA from 1 species